CAAAGGCAUGGUCCCGACCUUAUUAUCAGCUCUAACUCAACUUACACAUGCAAGUCUCCGCAACCCAGUGAAUAUGCCCUCAAUCCCCCCCACCCGGGGACGAGGAGCGGGCAUCAGGCACAAACAUUAGCCCAAGACGCCUAGCCAAGCCACACCCCCAAGGGAAUUCAGCAGUGAUAAACAUUAAGCCAUAAGUGAAAACUUGACUCAGUUAGUGUUAAGAGGGCCGGUAAAACUCGUGCCAGCCACCGCGGUUAGACGAGAGGCCCUAGUUGAUAUUACAACGGCGUAAAGGGUGGUUAAGGAUAAACAAAAAUAAAGUCAAAUGGCCCC
rnacentral:rRNA from 1 species